rnacentral:lncRNA from 1 species
GGAGAAGCCUGGUUUGAGUGAGUUUUUCCUGAAGCAAAAGGGAAGAGCUUAAUUUCAAAAGAAUAUCUUGAAAGACGCAUCAACUCACCAUUAGAAAACAUGAAACGACAGAUUAUAUCCUAAGAUUGUGUGAACCUCUUACCUGGAAACCCGUACAAUUGCUUUAUCUACCAAUCCUAAACUAUUAUAUCUUGAUCUUUACUCAAUCCUAAUUACACACCCACAUUGAAAGACCUAUCUUAAUUCAGACUUCAAAAUCUUACAAACGUCCAAGUCCCUCCUUUGAAAUGCUACUAAGACUGCAGUAAGAAUACAUAGCAUGCAGUGACUGAGAGGAAGAGAGAUACUAACACUUGAAGUAAUCCAGUCUAUCAAUAGGAGAUGGACUGCUUUGAUUUAAAGCGAUUUACAAAAGGAUUUGGAUACCUCAUCUCUCCUGUUUCGCCAAGGUCUUGACUCAUCGCUGCAGAUGACUAAAUCCCAUUGAGCUAAAUCUCCU